ACACAUGCAAGUCGAACGAGAGAUGAGGAGCUUGCUCUUCAAAUCGAGUGGCGAACGGGUGAGUAACGCGUGAGGAACCUGCCUCAAAGAGGGGGACAACAGUUGGAAACGACUGCUAAUACCGCAUAAGCCCACGGCUCGGCAUCGAGCAGGGGGAAAAGGAGCAAUCCGCUUUGAGAUGGCCUCGCGUCCGAUUAGCUAGUUGGUGAGGUAAUGGCCCACCAAGGCGACGAUCGGUAGCCGGACUGAGAGGUUGAACGGCCACAUUGGGACUGAGACACGGCCCAGACUCCUACGGGAGGCAGCAGUGGGGAAUAUUGCACAAUGGGGGAAACCCUGAUGCAGCGACGCCGCGUGGAGGAAGAAGGUCUUCGGAUUGUAAACUCCUGUUGUUGAGGAAGAUAAUGACGGUACUCAACAAGGAAGUGACGGCUAACUACGUGCCAGCAGCCGCGGUAAAACGUAGGUCACAAGCGUUGUCCGGAAUUACUGGGUGUAAAGGGAGCGCAGGCGGGAGAACAAGUUGGAAGUGAAAUCCAUGGGCUCAACCCAUGAACUGCUUUCAAAACUGUUUUUCUUGAGUAGUGCAGAGGUAGGCGGAAUUCCCGGUGUAGCGGUGGAAUGCGUAGAUAUCGGGAGGAACACCAGUGGCGAAGGCGGCCUACUGGGCACCAACUGACGCUGAGGCUCGAAAGUGUGGGUAGCAAACAGGAUUAGAUACCCUGGUAGUCCACACCGUAAACGAUGAUUACUAGGUGUUGGAGGAUUGACCCC
rnacentral:rRNA from 1 species